CUUCUUUGUUUCCUUUUCAUCUUCCUUACUUCUUCUUCUAUGUAUUUUUCUUCAUUUUUUCCUCUUACUUACUCCUUCAUGUUUUUCUUUCAUUUUUUUCUCUUCCUUACUCCUCCUUCGUCUUUUUCUUCAUUUUUUCCCUUUUCAAGUACAUGACAAAAGUACAAUCACUAUUCAAAUUCAAUCCCACAUUGAAUCAAAACUAAAACUUAAUUUCUACAAACUAAAAUCCAAAACCAAAAAGUCAGAAUCUAUAACUUGCAAAUGGGUGUUGGCAGAGACCAUUAAAAUCCUCAAAAUCCAGCGACCAAAACCUGAAUUAUUUGUCUCCUUAAUGUCACUACAGAAUUAUCCAACUCACCCCCGAUUUAGUCGUGUCAUUCAUUGUACGAACAAUCAAUCAAGUCAGCAAUCUUAGGCGAAAGCACUGCCAUAACAUCGUGGAGAGCUUCGUCUCAAUUCUUCUUCUUAAGCAAUCACGAGCCUUGUUGAUCCAACUAUUCAGCAAUCAAGACCCUUACUUCUUUUGCUCUUUUCAAACAGAGAAUGACCACGGAAUGGCUGUGACAGCCGUGGAGUUGCAGGUCAUCGUGGACAUCAUUUUGCAACAACUCUUUGCAUCGCGGCUGCUCAUGAUUGUUUAUAGGGUUUGGGAUUGUUGCUUUAAAUUAUUGUUUUGAUUGUUUAAUUGAGCUAAUGUUACUAGAAAAUUAGGAAAUACUGUAAUUUGAUAUUUGAGAUUACUUAAUUUUAGAUUAUGAAUAAUCUUUAAUCUUGAAUUAACCAUAUUGUUAAUAAUAGAUUGUAAUUUACUUUAUUGUUGUUUAUUAUUUUCAGUUUGGUGAAUAAGCAAAGGAUUUAAAGAAUUACGGGUUGUAUACGAAGACAAUGGUUUUUGGUGAGAAGGGUUUUGAAGCUUCAUAUUAAGCUUGUGGUAGCAUUUUUCUUUUGCUCUUUGAAUAUUUUUAUAUCCAUAUAUCUUUUUAGAUACCUUUGCAAAAGGAAAAAAGAAUAAUAACAAUUAUAAUAAUAAAUAUAAAAUAUGUAAAAUAUCAUUAAUUUUUCAUUUAUAACUUUAAUUAAUUUCUUUAUUUAUUUUUUAAAAUAUUUUUUAAAAUACAAAAAAAUUAAAUUUUAAUCAGUUCGAACAAAAUUAGACAUAUAGGUGCAAAAUGAAAAUAUUUUAAAGUAUUACGAAUGCAUAUCAUAAAUAUUUAAAAUAUUUGUAUGUGUUUUGAAAAACUUAAAAAGAUUUGGGCAUAUAAAAAUUAACCCACAUAACGGUUUGACUUUUUUGGUUUAUUGACUUUUAGGGGAAUGCACAAAUGUUGUUUUACCCUUUUAGCCGUUAAAAGUAACAUACAAAUAAUGAGUUUUGAAGGUAACUUGAUGUUUUCAAUAAUAAGAGGGGUAAUUUAAAAAUUAUCAAUUUACGAAGGAAGUAUGCUGAAAUUUUUCCAAAAAAAUAUAAGCACUUCACUUAUUGAAUAGAUGAUUAUGGUGAGAUUAUCCAAAAUAAGCUAAUUGUAACAAUUUUAUUAUAAAUGUAAUAGUAAAAGAGAUUAAUAAAUGGUAGGAUGCAGCUAUGGUAAGAGGGGCCUCGCUCAAUUUUAUUCAACCCAUUGCUUGAAAUUCAUUCCUCUUUCAUAUUUAUUUACUAGGAAAUAGAACCGCACUUCGUGCAGUUUUAAAAAAAGAAUUUAGUAUUAUCUUUUUUUAUUACUUUGCAUUCGAUGAAACUGAUAAAAAAUAUGAAUUUUUUUUUUAAAGAUGACGAAGCCUUAGAAAACUAAUGUUAUUUAUGAAAGUUUAUUAUUUUUUUGUUAACAUUAAAAAAAUAUAUUAAUGUGUAUAGUUAAGUGUACACAACCUUUUCAUCAAUAACAAUCAUGUUCACACUAAUCAACUCUCUAUUUUUCUUGGUAUCAACAGACUCCUACAUCUUACAAAGCCUAACCCUUAUCAUCCAACUAUCUUUAUCAUUGUUUAACUCAUCAAGAAAAGAGUACUCCAUGAAGCACACAAUACUAAAAAUUUAAAUAAGUCAAAAAAUAAAAACACAAUAACAUUUUUAAAGAGGAUGUUCGUUAAAUAAUAAAAAAAAAACUUAAACAUAACAAAUCUUAAAUGCUUAAUAUUUAUAGAGUUUGAAGAAGCCAAAAGACACUAAAUAAAAAGUUGUAUAAUUAAAUAUAGGAUUAUGACAUUAAAAUUAGGUCCUAAUAACAUUGGUGAAGGAACCUUCCUUCCUAUAUUAAUUAGUUGAUGUAUUUUAAACCACUAAAAUUUAGUUGUUGGCUUAAUAAAAUAAAUGAAUGUUUCAAAACUUAUAAUUAAUUUAUUAUUAAUGGUUACAUAUUGUUGAAUUUAAAUAGAAAGAGGAAAAAACAUGUAAUCUUUUGUAAUCUAUUAAUUAUUUUCUAUUUUUAAUAUUUUGUAAUGUAAUUAUUUUUUAAUCUCAACCAAUAUAUUAGAUAAUAGAUAAUAAAAAAAGAUGAGAAAUAAUGAUGCCACAAAUCUUAACUACUUAAUAUUUAUAGAGUUUGAAGAAGCCAAAAGGCACUAAACAAAAGAUUGAAUAAUUAAAUAUGAGAUUAUGACAUUAAAAUUAGGCUCUAAUGGCAUUGUUGAGGGAAGAUGAAGGAACCCUCCUUCCUAUAUUAAUUAAUUGAUAUAUUUAAGCCACUAAAGUUUAAUUGUUGGCAUAAUAAAAUAAAUAAAUGUUUCAAGAUUUAUAAUUAAUGAUUAUUAAUGGUUUCAUAUUAUUGAAUUUAAAUAGAAAGAGGAAGAGACAAGUAAUCUUUUAUAAUCUAAUAAUUAUUUUUUAUUUUUAAUAUUUUGUAAUGUAAUUAUUUUUUUAAUAUCAACCAAUUUAUUAGAUAAUAGAGAAUACAAGAAGAUGAGAAAUAGUGAUGCCACAUCACCUCCUCUAGUCCCAACUUUAUAUAUAUAUAUAUAUAUAUAUAUAUAGAUUUUUAAUAUUUUGUAAUGUAAUUAUUUUUUAAUCUCAACCAAUAUAUUAGAUAAUAGAGAAUAAAAAAAGAUGAGAAAUAAUGAUGCCACAAAUCUUAAAUAUUUAAUGUUUAUGGGGUUUGAAGAAGCCAAAAGGUACUAAACAAAAGAUUGAAUAAUUAAAUAUGAGAUUAUUUUAUUAAAAUUAGGCUCUAAUGGCAUUGUUGAGGGAAGAUGAAGGAACCUUCCUUCCUAUAUUAAUUAAUUGAUGUAUUUUAAGCCACUAAAAUUUAAUUGUUUGCAUAAUAAAAUAAAUGAAUGUUUCAAGACUUAUAAUUAAUUAUUAUUAAUGGUUACAAAUUGUUGAAUUUAAUAGAAAGAGGAAAAGACAUGUAAUCAUUUAUAAUCUAAUAAUUAUUUUCUAUUUUAAUAUUUUAUAAUGUAAUUAUUUUUUAAUUUCAACCAAUUUAUUAGAUAAUUAUAUAUUAACUUAUAUCUUUAUUAUUAAUAUAUUUUUUUAUCUUUUUUUUUUUAGUGUCAUAAUAUGAUAUAUGUACAAAGAAUAUCCACCAAUAUUUUAGAUAUUUUAGAUAAUAGAGAAUAUAAAAAGAUGAGGUUGAAGGAAGAUGAAAGAACCUCUCUUCCUAUGUUAAUUAGGUGAUGUAUUUUAAGGCACUAAAGUUUAAUUGAUAGCAUAAUAAAUUUUGAAGAAGCCAAAAGACACUCAACAAAAGGUUGCAUAAUUAAAUAUGAGAUUAUGGCAUUAAACUUAAGCCUUAGUGGUAUUGUUGAGGGAAAAUGAAAGAAUCUCUUUUCCUAUGUUAAUUAAUUCAUAUAUUUUAAGCCACUAAAGUUUAAUUGCUAGCAUAAUAAAAUAAAUAAAUGUUUCAAAAGACUUAUAAUUAAUUAUUAUUAAUGAUUACAUAUUGUUGAAUUUAAAUAGAAAGAGAAAAAAAAGUACAAAGAAUAUCUAACAAUAUUUUAGAUAUUUUAGAUAAUAUAAAAUAUAAAAAGAUGAGGAAUGAUAUAUAUUAAUAAAUUUACUAUUUAUUAAAUGAGUUAAAUAUAAUCAAAUUAAUUAUGAGAAGAUGAAAAGUCAAAUUUUUUAAAAAAAUCUCUAUUUAUUAGAUAAUAGAGAAUAUACAAAGAAGUGAAAUAGUGAUACCACAUCACCUCCUCAAGUCACAACUUUAUAUAUAUAUAUAUAGAUAUUUUAUAUUGUACAGGAGGCCCCGUUUAUGUUGCCACAGCCAGAGGAGUAACAUACCCUUCAUUCUGUGUGUUAAAUUUUAUUUGACCCCUUCCUUUCUUUUUUAUUUUUAAUUAUUUAUAAGGAUAACUAGACCCGAUUAAUAUGACCAGCACAAGAAGCAACAACGACGAGCAAUAUUAGCAUCGCACAGCAGCAAUGACGGCAAGUAGUGAGCAGCAACAACGGUGGUAGGCAACGAUUAGCAGCAACGAUGACAGCAGCAGUAGCGAAGCAAGUAGUAACAACGAUGUCUUGGAUGUGUUUUUUUUUUUUUUUUUUUGGUAAAGGGUAUGUUAGGGAUCAACAAAAAGUUUGGGGCAAAGUGGAAAUAGUAAAGGUGGCAGGAGGCGGAUAAUGAUGAGCACGUGACUACUUUGGCAAGUGUUGAUCGCUACUCUUUUGUUUAUUUACUAAAAUUUUCAAAAUUACCCUUUAAUUUUUUAACUUAUUUAAUGUUAUUAAUAAUUAUUAUUUAUAAUUUUAUUUAUUAAUUUAAUAUUAUAAAUGGACCUCCAUCGAAAAGUCACCGGACCUCGCCGGAAGAUCACCGGACCACCGCUGGAUCUCAACGGAUCACCACCGGACCUCACCGGAAGGUCACCGAACCACCGCAGGAUCUCGCCGGACCUCGGCCGAACUUUGCCGGACCUCCGCCGCCGGCCACCAGACUGUCAUUUUAUUUUAUAUAUAUAUAUAUAUUAUUACUAAUAUAAAUAGUUUAUAUUAUCUUGUCAAGUAUUUAUUAAGUUGAAUUGUUAAAACAUGUUUUUAUUAAUUUUUUUUUGUUUAUGUUGUUAUAGGUUUAUGAAGAAUCUUAGAAUGUGCAUCAAUGGUAAUGGCUACAAGUUUAUGUUGAAGACUUAAAAUUAUUUUGAUUUGUCGUAUAAAAUUUAAUCAUUUGUAAUUAUGUUGAAGGCUUAAAAUCAUUAUGUUUUUAUUUAUGUGGAGGUUGUUAAAAUUUGAUCACUUGUAAUUUUAUUUCUAAAUAUGGAGGUUGCUAGAAUUAUUAUUAUUAAAAAAAUGAAAACUGAAAUAUUUAGAAAUUAUUAUUUAAAAAAUGGGGAUCGGGUCCCCGCUCAAUUAGGGAAUUUUCGGGAAUAUACCCAAACAAUCCCCCAUUACAAUUUUUCGGGUAUAGGGCGGGUUCGGGAGAUUGCUUCUAAAUUGGGUUCGGGUGUUCGGGUUCGGGGAUCAUGAUCCCCACCCGAACCCGCCCCAUUGACAUCCCUAUUAGAAACAAUUAAUUAAAUGAACUAUAUUCUGCAUUAUGGAACUCAAAGCAUUAGAAUCCAUAAUUUACUUUUCUGUUCUUUUUAUUCUCUGAUAAUCAUUCUUUAUAGUAUAUAUGGUAUGCCCAUCAUCUAAUAUGUUGAGUUUUGACACCUAUACAAGCCUUUUGAAAUUUGAAGAAUUAUGUAUUUAGAAAAAAAAAUAGAGUUAAUUUCAACCUACCUCUCGUGAAGUGACAAUUUUUAAAUUGCCUCCUUUAUUAUUGAAAACAUCAAACUAUUCCCUUAAAACUCGUUAUCUUUAAUCAUUCACUGCAGUUGACUCAUGAAAGUACAAUAAUAAUGCACUAAUAACGAAAUUCGUUAACUUAAACUGUUACACACCUAUUAUUUAAAAACAUAUUUCCUUUAUCCCUUUACAAAUUCUAAAGUAUCUCAUCACCCAUUUAUUUUCUUAUGUCACGCAUUUUAGUUCAUAGGUAUAAUAAAAAUCAAUAUUAAAAUGAAAAAAAAAAUGAAACAUUGAAUUUCUCUUCUUCGUUUCUUUUUCAUCUUCCUUACUUCUUCUUCUCUGUAUUUUUCUUCAUUUUUUCCUCUUGGUUCCUUCUUCAUGUUUUUCUUUCAUUUUCUUUUUCUCUUCCUUACUCCUUCUUCGUCUUUUUCUUCAUUUUUUUUUCCCUUUUCAAGUACAUGACAAAAGUACAAUCAAUAUUCAAAUCCAAUCCCAUAUUGAAUCAAAACUAAAACUUAAUUUCUACAAACUAAAAUCCAAAACCAAAAAGUCAGAAUUUAUAACUUGCAAAUGGGUGUUGGCAGAGACCAUUAAAAUCCUCAAAAUCCAGCGACCAAAACCUGAAUUAUUUGCCUCCUUAAUGUCACUACAAAAUCAUCCAACUCACCGCCGAUUUAGUCGUGUCAUUCAUUGUACGAACAAUCAAUCAAGUCAGCAAUCUUAGGCGAAAGCACUGCCUUAGCAUCGCCGAGAGCUUCGUCUCAAUUCUUCUUCUUAAGUAAUCAAGAGCCUUGUUGAUCCAACUAUUCAGCAAUCAAGACCCAUACUUCUUUUGCUCUUUUCAAAUAGAGAAUGACCACGGAAUGGCUGUGACAGCCGUGGAGUUGCAGGUCAUCGUGGACAUCAUUUUGCAACAAUUCUUUGACAUCGCGGCUGCCCAUGAUUAUUUAUAGGGUUUGGGAUUACUGCUUGAAAUUCUUGUUUUGAUUGUUUAAUUGAGCUACUGUUACUAGAAAAUUAGGAAAUGUUGUAAUAUGACCAGCACAAGAAGCAACAACGACGAGAAAUAUUAGCAUCGCACAGCAGCAAUGACGGCAAGUAGUGAGCAGCAGCAACGGCGGUAGGCAACGAGUAGCAGCAACGGCGACGACAACAGUAGCGACAGCAAGUAGUAACAGCGAUGUCUUGGAUGUGUUUUUUUUUUUUUUGGGUAAAGGGUAUGUUAGGAAUCAACAAAAAGUUUGGGGCAAAGUGGAAAUAGUAAAGGUGGCAGGUGGCGGAUAAUGGUGAGCACGUGACUACUUUGGCAAGUGUUGUUCGCUACUCUUUUGCUUAUUCACAAAUUUGAAAUAAUUUGGACUCACG
rnacentral:lncRNA from 1 species